UUGACCCAUGAUGAGUACCAUGCAGUAUCUGCAGCAGGAUAUUUUGAUGAAAGCAGAAUGGAUCUCUGAGGUCUGU
ensembl:snoRNA